AUGCAGUUAUUGCUCUGAAUAUACGCGGAUAUUUAAAGUGCAUGGCGGAUUUAUUGGUUGUUAUGGACAACCUCCAGCAGUAUGAGAUAUAAAUGUUCACUGCAGUUUUGACAAUGCCCAUCAAGUGGAGUUGCUGUGAGUUCUCAUGCAGUGUAUGAAAAGUACAGUACUGCUGUUGGAAGAGGAGCAGUGUGGUAUCUAUGGUCCACCAUCACUUCAAGCAUUAUGACUAUGGAUAAAAGAAGGUUUCAUAACAUAUGGACAACUAUAUUGGACAAAAUAAGAAGUGUUCUAAUAAGUUGUGGAAUGUGGCUUGUUAUGAUGGGUCUACAUGAUUGACUUGGAGUACAACCUGAUGGGGACUUGGCUUGCAGAAUUCAGUCCUGAACAUGUUUAGAAUGUCAGAAUGACCUAGUAAAAGUAUUCUUGAAGGAUUAUAACUUCAACACAGAGACGGAGAUUAAUAUUUUAGGCAGGGGAUUGGCAUGACAGGCAAAUUCUCCAACUGUAUUACCAUUCCUGAGCUGGAUGCCAGCCGACAGUGGUACCUGUAUAAUGAAAUAGCGCCCCUUUGCAGCAACAGCAAUGUAUGCUCAAAACUAGCAGUGCCAAAGCCUUUAAAAUUGAGAACUUAGCCAUUUAAAACAAAGAAUGAAUGGAAAAAAAGUGUUUAACAUUUAAAGUAAUACAGAGAAAGAGCUUAGCUCAUUUGGUAUUUUCUGAAAUUUUAAUUAAUUUUGAAAAUGUUUUUUGAUUUUUUAAAGGUGUACUAGACCCAAACUCCAUAUAUGAGCCGUGCCAUGAGAAAACCAACAUAGUGGGUUUGCAACCAGCAUGGAUCCAGACCAGCCUGCCCAUCCGUGCAGUCUUGUCAGGAUCCAUGCUGUUCACUUUUAAAGCCUAUUGGAAUUAGAGAAACUGUUAGCGAACAGCAUGGAUCCUGAUCAGACUGCGUGGAUGUGCAGGCUGGUCUGGAUUCAUUCUGGUCACAAACCCCUUAUGUUGGUUUUCUCAUGGCGUGGCUCAUAUAUGAAUAUGAAGAAAUGCUACAUAUAGUUAUGUAAACAUUGAAUUAACAAGUUUAUGAAGUCAACAGUACUAUGCAUUGGUUAAAUAUAGACACACUGUAUGUAUGUAAGGCUGAACACAGUUUAAAUGUUAAAUUCCUCUAAGACACUGGAAGAUUUUUCAACAAUCUACUGUUUAGUACUGCAUGACAUAAAAUUAUGAAUGUAGCUCUACAUACACAGUUGAUUUAUACAUUAUUAAGCAAAGUUAAAUAUAUUUAUUGAUGAUUUUCUACAGUAGUUACCUAAAUAUUAAAUAUUUUAGUGAAGAUAUAUUUUAUGCAACUAUAUAAGUUGAAAAAAGCCAGCACCAGGAAGAAUAUUUUGAAAUGAUACUUUUACUUGAAAAUUUUUGUGAAAAAUGAAGGAAAUAGAUGUUAAAAUGAAUUCUUUAUUUUAUAAAAAAUGUUGUUGCCAUGGAAACAUAAUUUGAGUCUUAAGUUUAUCUGCUUUCAUACCAGAGUAAUAUGACUUUUAAUUAUAAUUAU